rnacentral:rRNA from 1 species
UACGAAGGGGGCGAGCGUUGUUCGGAAUUACUGGGCGUAAAGGGCGCGCAGGCGGCCUCUUGAAGUCAGAUGUGAAAGCCCCGGGCUCAACCCGGGAGGGUCGUCGUGAACCGGGGGGCUUGAGGCCGGUAGAGGUGGGUGGAACUCCUGGGGGAGUGGUGAAAUGCGUAGAGAUCAGGAAGAACACCCGUGGCGAAGGCGGCCCACUGGGCCGGACCUGACGCUGAGGCACGAAAGCGUGGGGAGCAAACAGG